GCCAGGCAUGGUGGCUCAUGCCUGUAAUCCCAGGGGCUCAGGAGGCUGAAGCAGGAGAAUUGAAAGUCCAAAGCCAUCCUCAGCAAUUUAGCAAGGCCCUAAGCAACUUAGCAAGACCCUGUCUUAA
rnacentral:sRNA from 1 species